CUUCCAAAUCUAUGUUGAACAGUAGUGGUGAGAGUGGACAUCCUCGUCUUGUUCCUGAUCUCAGUGGGAAUUCUAUCAGCUUUUUACCAUUGAGAAUGUUGUUAGCACUGGCUUUGUCAUAUAUGGCCUUUAUCAUGUUGAGGUAGGUUCCCUGUAUGCCCACUUUCUGAAGGGUUUUGAUCAGAAAUGGGUGUUGGAUUUUGUCAAAGGCUUUUUCUGCAUCUCUGGAGAGGAUCAUAUGGUUUUUCUUCUUCAGUUUGUUAAUGUGGUGUAUCACACUGAUUGACUUGCAGAUAUUGAAGAACCUUUGCAUCCCUGGGAUAAAUCCCACUUGAUCAUGACGUACAAUCCUUUUAAUAUAUUCUUGGAUGUGGUUUGCUAGUAUUUUGAUGAGGAUUUUUGCAUCAAUGUUCAUCAGUGAAAUUGGCCUGUAGUUUUCUUUUUUGUGGUAUCUCUGUCUGGUGUUGGUAUCAGGGUGAUGGUGGCCUCAUAGAAUGAGUUUGGGAGUGUCCCUUCCUCUGUAAUUUUUUGGAAUGUUUUCAGAAGUAUAGGUAUUAACUCUCCUCUAAAUGUUUGAUAGAAUUUGCCUGUGAAGCCAUCUGGUCCUGGACUUUUGUUCAUUGGAUGUUUUUUAUUUACAGUUUCCAUUUCAGUUCUUGUGAUUGGUCCCUUCAUCUUUUCUCUUUCAUCUUGGUUUAGUCUUGGAAGAUUAUAGUUUUCUAAGAAUUUAUCCAUUUCUUCUAGGCUGUCUGUUUUAUUGGCAUAUAGUUGCAUGUAGCAGUCUCUUAUGAUCCUUUGUAUUUCUGUGAUGUCCAUUGUUACUUCUCCUUUUUCAUUUCUAAUUUUGUUGAUUUGAGUCCUCUCUCCUUUUUUCUUGAUAAGUCUGGCUAAAGGUUCAUCAGUUUUGUUGAUCUUUUCCAAGAACCAUCUUUUAGUUUCAUUGAUCUUUUCUGUGUUUUUUUUUGUUUCUAUUUCAUUGAUUUCUGCUCUCAUCUUUAUGAUUUCUUUUCUUCUGAUAACAUUAGGUCUUGUCUGUUCUUCUCUCUCGAGCUUCUUUAGAUGUAAAGUUAGCUUGUUUAUUUGAGCUUUUUCUUGUUUCCUGAGGUGGGCUUGUAUUGCUAUAAACUUGCCUCUUAGAACGGCUUUUGCUGAAUCCCAUAGUUUUUGGAGUGUUGUAUCUUUGUUGUCAUUUGCUUCUAGGUAUUUUUAAAUUUCCUCUUUGAUUUCCUCAGUGAUCCUUGGGUUGUUUAGUAGCAUGUUGUUUAGUCUCCACGUGUUUGUGUUUUUUGCAGUGUUUUUCUUGUUGUUG
rnacentral:lncRNA from 1 species